UUUUUUCUUUAGAAUAUUAGGUAUAUAAAAAAAAAUUAAAAUAGUUCAAGAAGUUUCUAAGUUCUUCACUGGAAGCAAAUAAUUGUUUAUAGAGUUCUACUCAAGUGCUCUACCAACUAUCAUAUGUUUACUUUGUCUACUGUUAAAAAAUGGUUUUAUUUUUGUAAACUUUAAUUAUUUAAAAGUUGAUCAUUAGCUAAUAGUUUAAAAGCAAAUUAGUUGUCGCAAUCAAGAUUUUGACUAUUUUAAACAAUGCUCUAGAAAAAGCAUCAGCAACAGAUUGGAUUGCAAAAUUGAUUCAGAAAUGGAUGAAUUCUCUCAUGACUUAGAUGAAUCUGAGGCAUCAGCUUAAUUGGUAAAGUCGUCGACUUCGUAAACUGAAGGUCGGAGGUUCGAGUCUUGCCUCUUCCUGGAUAUCUUUUGUUAUUUUACACACGCAUACAGCCGAAUGUUAAUAAAAUAAAACAGUAUUAUCAGAAAAAACUUAUUGCAAAAUUUGCAUUUUAAAACAUAUAAAAGCA